GGCGGUUAUGGUGGGGGUUUGAGCAGAGGCUCCGGAAGCUAUGGUGGCGGUUAUGGUGGGCGACUCCUGGGAUAUGGAGGAUAUGGUUACGGCAAGUAAAUGACUCUUCUCCAAACCUUGAACUGGGAAAUACGAAGGAAAUUCGAAACCAACUAAUAUUUGUAACAACUAAUAUUUGUUCAGAAAGUUAGAUGUAAUAAAAUCUGUAUUUUUGGCUU